UUACGACCACAUCACGUUGAAACACUAGUUUCCGUACGAUCACCGAAGUUAAGCAACGUCGAGCCUGUUCAGUACCUAGAUGCUUGACUGUUUGGGAAUACCAGGUGCUGUAAG